rnacentral:lncRNA from 1 species
GACAAGACUGAUGUAUCUGGAAGGGCCACAUAGCAUCUGCUGUGGGGCAACCUGGGAGGCAAAAGGGCAGAGAGGAGUGCCCAGGUUCCCUGAUUGUCUGCUGCCCUCCAGCGCCUCCCUCACAGCUGCUCUCCCCUGACCAGGGAGCCCUCCUCCCUCUUUCCUUCAGCCAAAGAAAGCCCGCCUCUCAACAGGCCUGGGAGGAAGAAGGAUGCGAAUGCAAAGCUGUGCAGAUGAUAAUCAGGAUUUAUACUAACAGCCCAAAAGGACGAAGAUGCAAGGCAUGCAUAUGUCAUUUGGUCAAAGAACGAUGAGAAAUCAAACUGUACUCUCUGCAAGUGCCAACGAAUUGUUCUGCUACUGGCGGUCCUUGUCAGAUGCUGGGACUCCUGCUUUUGUUACUGAAUGUGGAAAAUAAAACUGUUAAGACUAAUUGAAGAUAAUGGGAUAAAAAUCUAUAGCUGAAAUCAACCUCCUCUACAUCAAUUAGAUGAAAGUAAUUCACUGAAAGUUAUUUGCUGGACAUGCAAUAGUCAUGCAGUGCCUGCUUGUGUAGCUUAAAAACACGCUACAAACAUUUUUAAACAUGAAGGUACAAAGUGAUUAAUAUAGAUAGAGACACUCUUCUAGGGCUGUGUGUGUGCGUGUGUCUCAACACACAACUUUGGCCUACGUGUGCACCUUAUUGUAAGACCUUGCAACGUCAAGAUAUUUCACAGGGUGAAAUCCCGCUUCCUGUGUGGCAGCUCCACACGGGACCAGAAAUCAUGCAGUCAGACUGACUGACUUUGGCUGACUGAGUUUUAAAGAGGAUCAAAAACCUUUUAGUAUAAAAAGAAAAAAAGGCUCUACCAUAUUGCAGUGGUCCUUUUAAGACCUCCCACAUGGCUGCUCUGAGUGACAGGUCUGACAUCCCUCAAAAUUCCCACAGCAUUCCAGCUAAUUACUUAGAAACAGAUAAACCCACCAAAAGCCAACCAGUAAGUAGGAACGUAUGCGAGGAGUGAUCUCAUCCUGGGUUUCUCAAGGAGACAACACAGACAUGGAAAAGAAAGACAGGCAAAAAGAGUAAUUGAUGGUUUUUAUUCCAUUUUCCUUCUUCCCUCCUUGUCCUUCUGUUUUGAUCAUUGGAAUUUCACAGUAAAUACACACUCUGUGAAAGAUAUUAGUGCAUGUUCACUGUCCAGGUAUUUGGUUUCAUGAAAUCACUGAACCUUAUUAGAAGCUAAAGCAUCAAAAUUUUAACAGGCAUUAUCCUGGAAUGAUAUUUAUACUAUUAGGAAUCUCUGGAAAAUUAAAAAACCAUAAUUGUAAGCAGUUGUUUAAGGGAAAGAUUUUCUGAAGUCAGUGGACAAUAGAUUUCAAGACUUUGACAUAGAAGUUUAAAAAAUUAUCAAUCUUUCUUUUUUGUGCCUAGCUUAAGAAAUUCUUUCCUAGAUAUAUCUAGAGAAAAAAAAGAUAAAUCUAGAUAUAUAA